AUAAUAGGGGAGAUUGACCCCCAGGUACUUAGCCGGAAUAGGUCACUAAUUAGAAAAACGACCUCAUGUACUCGAUUGUACAUCGUUAGUACAUGAUUGUACAGUGAUUUUUUUUGUUUGUACACCCACCAAUUAAUUUAAAAAAAUUAAUGAAGUUUUGGCAUGAUUCUAGCCGACAAAAAUUUCAAACUGUUCAAUCAGCUCAAGUUAGGGGUCUAUCUCAAAGGAAAUCGUUUGUACAUUACGAAUUUGAUAUUAUUAUCGUUUGUACAAUCAUCAUUUAUUAGUUAAAGCUGCGGUAAGUAAUCAUUGUCAACCCCCCCCUCGCCCAGCAGAUCAUUGGUAGUUCCUACGUUAUCGACAUUAAUAUUUACAUACACUCUGGUCCGUUGUUUAUAUCGUUGUCCAUAUUAUUAUUCCAUUAUUUAUCCCAAUAAAUGAACAUUGAAUGCUUCGAAGUUACAGUUUAUUAAGCAUCAAUGGGUACAUUCGUUUUUUUUUCGAGCACGGAGGAAUACUUGUGUGCAGUGUUCUAUCACCUUGCAUUCUGACAGGUAGAAAGGGUUAUGGUUGAUUACAAUCAUUAGCAAAAAAUUUACUAAUGAUUUGCACCAGGAGAAGGUCCGCCGAUGUUGGCACAUGCCGAGUGAUUUCUCUCUUCGAGGGAGAAAUUGGCAAUCAGAUUAAAGUCAGAAGACCGACGAAGAUGAUUCAUAAACAUGCCCAAUUCUUCGCAGUCAGGCCGGAGAUGUUGAAGUCUGGGUGGCUGAAAGAUAUUCCGGAGCACUUGCUGGGAUUUGAGAAGCAGCUUGGAAGGCUGGAGAUGUUCUUGUCCGCAAAAAUACCAUCUUGGAGGGCUCAUCAGUCUUGACUGAUGCUGUGGUCGAUCCCAGGAUGUUCCUCGUGCAAACCGAUGAGUCCGAGGGACCGUCCUUUGGGACGAUUUUUGGAGUUGUGGGGGCUCAGGGAAAUUCAUGUGGGGCUGUGGCUGGGGCUGGUGCUGAGUGAGGAGGGCAACUUGGCAGUCAUCACGCAGGCGUUGAAGUGCUCAGCUGCUGUUGUCCAGGUGACACCGUAUGGGAGGAUGAAGGGGGAACUCGCUGGGAAGCUGAGGAGGCACUGCAGGAUCCAACAGACCGAGUAGUCGCCCUCUCCGUCUUCGAGGCCUCCGCCAAUGUCGAGAAUAUGACUCCAGACGUUCUGGACAUCCUCUUCAGAAAGUCUGACGAUACAAACCUCUCGAAACGCCCCCAUCACAAACCCCAAGCGAUGGAGAAAACAAUGAAGAGGUCAACUGCUUCGGUCUAGAGUCCUCUCUGAAUGAUCAUGAUAAAUUUUCUGUAAUUUAUUUGAAUUUAUAUUGAUUACGAACUUCUCCAAGAUUCUCUCUUAUUAUCUGGACUCGUCGCAUAUGAUCAGAAGUACGAUCACUUCGUAGCCUAUUGUCGUCGUCGUACUGGCAAAUGGGAAUGCCAUAAUGGACUACUCAGCAAAGUGCAACCUGUCAGAGGAAAUCCAACAAUUCGACCUGAAUGCGCACUGUUUUUGAUCAAUCCAGAUGAAUUGUAGUCUUCAGUCGUAAUAAUCAAGAAAUUAUUAGGAGGAAUGAAAAAAAAAAUCACUUUUUUCUGUAUGAUUACGAAAAUGUAUUUUAGCACAUCAAGUAAUUGAAAACUAAUUUCUAUUUGAAACUGUUAUCUGUGAACAAAUUCACAUAGUUAUAGACAAACUAGAUUUAGUUAUUGAAGCAGAGGCGUGUAUGCAAUCAUUACGUGGUAUAAUUAGAGUGCAAAUGUACAGUGUACGUGUUAUACGUAAGAAUAACAUUUUUUAUAACAAUUAUUGUCCGGUAGGAUUAUUUCUAAUACGUGUACACAAUCUUCCUAAUGAAUGACAUCUAUGAUAAUUAUUCUUUUCAA